rnacentral:lncRNA from 10 species
CAAAACCCAACGCGGCCGUCGAAGACCCCGAGGCAGCCCAGCCGCCGCCACCGCGCCGCGGCCAGUACUGCUCCGUCUCCCUCCCCGGGCAGCGGCGGCGCGCAGCGCGUCUCCUUCCGCCGGCGCGGGCGGGGCAGCAGCCGCGGGAGGGUCGGCGGAACCACCGCAGACGGAAAGUAGUGCCCGGCCCUGCGGAGGCGGCAGCGGCCACUGGGUCCGUCCAGAUCCAGAGGCGGCGGCGGCGGCGGCAGCGGGAGACGAAAAAAUGAAGAGGGCCGCGGGAAAGUAGGCGACAGCUAUUCAAAGCUUUUGGGGGUCUACCUUUGUAUUCGUUGCUCCCUCAGAGGUGGAGGUGAGGGGAAAGUGAAGUGUAGUGGUUCCACUCUGAUCACAAAAUAAACUCCUGGGUUGACGCCUCACCCGCGGUUUGAUGUUCAGAGCACACAGCGCCCGCCGCCUGAGUUAGCCUGAAUUAGCAGUCCCGCAGUAACAGCAGCAGAGCAGGACAACACUUCUACUGAAAACUAAGCCCCAAAGUCACAGCAGAACCAACCGUUCAUGACUUCAAGGGAAAACGAGGGGGAAAAUGAUAUAUAAGCUCCAUAAGGCAUCUUUGUCUUGUUCAUAACUAUACUC